AUUUAAAAUCAAAGGUAUCGAAUGCUGAAAGUAAGACUGAGAGUACAGAAGAGCAAUGUAUAAUAUUAUCUGAAACAAAUAUGGAACUUGGUAGAGAAAUAAGUUUCUUAAGGUCUAGAGUGAAAGGCUUAGAGGCUUCUUUGGAUCAAGCUAACAACUCAAAAGCAGCAAGUGCAAAAGAAAUUAAUCUGAGGACCAGGCUUAUCAUGGAUAC
rnacentral:misc_RNA from 1 species